rnacentral:lncRNA from 1 species
GAGUGAGGGGACCAGGGUGGAAAAUCUGGAUUCUACCCCAAGUGUAAGUCUCAAACUGACUGGAGAGCAGGGGAAAGAGAAGGGUCAAGAACUCAGGGACUCAUUUUAUGUUCCCCUUCCUGCUGUGGCCCUCAUUACAGUGGAACUGAACUAGAGGAUACUCAAGGAAUCAGAGGCACACCUGGCCCCGAGAAUGAGACACUUAACAGUUUUUUUCCCAGACUACAGAGGAGGUGUGGCUGCAGGGGAAAGCAAGCAGGCAUGCUCCCUCCUGACGCUAGUUCUAAGGGGACAUGUAAAGGAUUUGGGCCAAGUUUGUAUAGGAAUGUCCUGGGAGGCCUCCUGCAAGCCAGGGAAGGCUGAAAGAACUAACAGCUUCUCUGACAUGGAGGGCUGGUCAGGCUCUGCAGUGUCACUGCUUGUGUUUGUAUCAUUCUUUCACCACUGAGUUACUGUGUGACUGUGGACAAAUUUCUUAACUUCUCUGAGCCUUAGAUUUCUCAACUCUAACAUGAAGAUUUUCCUAUAUUUUAAAAAGUUAUGAUGAGUCAAUGAGAGAAUUAACGUAAAGCGCCUGGCAUAAAGAAAGCCCUCAAGAAAUGAUAGUAUUAGUGAACAUCUUGUUGCCGUCCUAGGCUCGAAUAGACUGUCCCUAAACACUCUGUUCCCACCGCUGUGAACAGUGGCAGCAUAAUUCUUUUGCAGAAUACUUCCAUUAUUUGCUUAUGUCCCUAAUGGGACCCAAAUGCCAAACUUGUAAGUCCAUCCUGUUCUACUAAAAGGCAGGGGCACAGAUAGAAAGCUGCUGAGAGACUACACUCUGAGGUCAGCCUUGACCCUGAGGCUCAUCUGGCUCUCCCUGUUCCUCUACAGCCAGGCAAACAGGAUUCCUGCAGACAAUGCUCGGAUGAUGAAAUCUGAGAGGCUGGAUGACAGAGAAACCCACAUGCAUACACACACACUUUAUAAAGCUUAGGAACAAAAGCACUUUAUAAUCUCCUUCUGAUGCCAAGUUUACAGUGCUUCCAGAGUCAACAAAGGUGACUCAGGAGAGUGCACCCAGCUCCUUUCAGCACUUAUUUAGCUCAGCCACCUGUGUGAGCUCAAAGACAAGGGUGCCGACUUCACCUGAGUAGACCCUGAGUCACGUGAUUUCUUGCUGGAGAUGAUUCAGCAAAGGAGCACUAACCUCUGAGACAAGGCUUCAGCUUCCUGAGCUCUGCUGACUCGCCUGGGACUUCCCUAAGCCCUUCUGGACCUAGAUGAGGGCAAAACUCAGUGGAACCUCAGAAGCCCUAAAAAAAUGAUAGACUUUCUUUUGUCUCAUCAUUAUCAGCAUUUUGGGAUGAUUUAGUCAGCCUAAGAAACCUGAUGGCAUGUUGACACCAGAAAACAGGUAGUAUAUAUUCCCAAACCAAGUUAAAAAAAAUUAAGAAAUAACAGCUGGAAUGCCUUUUAUUUUUUCUUUACACAAAUGUGUGUGUCAUCGUCAUAUGCCUUUUUUGUGUUAAUUUCUGAGGAUCCUGCCAGUGUGAAUACUCCAUUCUCUGCGAGUCGCAGGUCAGGCUGCUUUUGAGGCAAGCACACGUUAAGUAUUGAGCAGAAACAUUUGAAGCAAAGAUGAGAAAGACAGAAGGGGAAGCAAGAAAAAUAGUCUUCCCAGUGUGCCUAUUUGGGUGCAUAUAAAGUUACUUUUAGAUGUGCGAUUACUGGUUAAUGAUUUGGGGAAUUCUUUUCAAGUAGAAAUCCUGGGCUAAAAACUAAGUGUGCUCAAGCUACCCCCGCACCCACUGAUUCUGCACUCCAUGGGAAAAGUUCUCACAAGCAAGUCCUUUGUCCACUACCCACGUCUAUAGGAAAUGUUUGAACAGCUAUACACAAAGAACUCACAAGUCCACAACCUCGGGGGUGUUGCGGGUGGAGAGGGCAGUGGUAAAGGUGAUGACAGGGAGGGCCUGUGGGGACAGUAAUAUUAGAUUAGUGGUCAGAAGAUGCUGGAGCCUGCCUUGCCAGUCACACACUUUUAGAGGAAUGCUGGACAGUACACACCCUCCCCAACCCUGAAUGUAGGCCCUCGCUGACAUCACGCCAGAUGAAGCCCUGAGGUCUUUAACAUCUGUAACUCUAUGGCAUGUAACAUAAACAGGUGUCUGACCAGUUUCCCCAGAUAUAGAAUAAUAAUAAUACCUUUCAUUUAAAAAGGUAAGAGGGAAUUCAACAAGCUUUCCUUCUUAAAUAAAUCUCCAUCUCAGGAAGCCAUGGAAAGAUGCCCCUCCCACACUAAGACUGUAGAGAGAGGCACUGUGAAGGUCUGGCUUGGAGAUCUCAGCUCUUCCUGCCUCUCAGGGGGAAAGGGCAGAUCCAGCAGGCCGGGAAAGGAUCUCCCAGGGUCCCAAGGAGGCAGCAUGGGGCAAAGUCCAACAGUGAGGAUUCUCUCCUUCUCUGGUCUCUUUUCUGUUAAAAAUGCUUCUUUGGGGUACCCUUCAUUACUACCCUGGAGGUUGAAGGACACUUCUUGAGAAGGCAUAGAUACUCUUCAGGUAUGCUGAAGAAAUGAGUUGUGCUAAAACCACUGGUUAAUUUUGUCUGUGGCAAAAAAUCAUGAGGGUGACAUAGACUCCCAGGCCAGGAACCCGAGACUGGAUUUAAGAGAUGUGGCCAGGAUCCACAGGGGAGCUUGUAUGUGGCUCACAUCAUUAGCUCUUUCUGUAUAUUUGUAUUGUAAACCAUUUCCCUUCAUUUGUGAAGAUGGAGAUCACUUUUUCUAUACAGGCUAGAAAUGUUUCUUCAUACACACACGCUGAGCUUGUUUAUAAAAGAUAUUCAUUUAUAUGGUGGUUUUAACAACUUUUCCAUGUGGAAAUUUUAGACGACAGUAACACAGACCCUCAUGUACUCAUCACUCAGCCUUGAUGGUUACUGACACAUGCCCAAUAUUGUUUCAUCUGUUUCUCCCCACAACUCCUGGAUUAAUUUGAAAGAAAUCCUAGAAGUCACUUAAUCAGCAAAUACUCCAGUCUGUUGGUCCACUCCUUAUACAAUAGCCAGGGUGAUCUUUUACACAUGAAGUAGUGAUUGCAUCACUCAUGCUUGCUUGGAAUUCUUCAAAGACUUACGUUGGCACUUCAGAUAAAGUGUAGACUCCUUCGCGUGACCUAGGAUGUCCUUUGGGCUCUCACUGUUCCCUCAGCCUCCUCACCUGAAGCUCUCACUGCCCCACCCCUUUGCUCAUCACACUCCAACCCGCCUGCCAUUGAGCUACUCAAAUGGACUGCUCCUUUCUCAAGACCUCUGCACACUUUCAAGCCUCAUUUCUCUUCAGCCUUUAUUAAAUGUCAUCUCCUCCAGAUGGCCUCCUUUGGUGGCCCAGGUCAUGUUAGAUCUGCCUGUUAAAUAAAU